rnacentral:rRNA from 1 species
GUGACCUGCGGAGGCAUUAUUGAAUAAAAACUUGAGCAGGCUGUCUGCUGGCCCCUUGGGGUAUGUGCACGCUUGUUCUUUGUUAUUUCUCCAACUUGUGCACAUUUUGUAGACCCUGGAGCCUUGUGGAUUUUAAUAUUCCGAGUCGGGACUGCUGUGCUUCCUCUUUGUGAAGUCGGCUUUGCCUUGCAUCUCCAGGUCUAUGUCAUUUAUUUUCACAAUCAUGUUUAGAAUGUUGGGAUCAGGUCUUUUUGUACCUAUAGAAAUGAAAUAUACAACUUUCAGCAACGGAUCUCUUGGCUCUCGCAUCGAUGAAGAACGCAGCGAAAUGCGAUAAGUAAUGUGAAUUGCAGAAUUCAGUGAAUCAUCGAAUCUUUGAACGCAUCUUGCGCUCCUUGGUAUUCCGAGGAGCAUGCCUGUUUGAGUGUCAUUCAACUUCUCAACCACAUUCGUUCAUUUGAUUGUGGCUUGGAUGAUGGGGGUUUUUGUUUGCAGGCUUCUUAAUUAAUCUGAGAGGUCGGCUCCCCUGAAAUGUAUCAGUGGUAUCUGAGGCUAUUGCUAUAGGUGUGAUAAUUAUCUAUGCCCUUGGUUGUGCCGCAUGGAACUGCUUCCAACAGAGAUGAUCUUUUUUUGAUGAAUUUGACCUCAAAUCAUGUAGGACUACCCGCUGAACUUAAGCAUAUCAAUAAGCGGAAGAAAAGAAACUAACAAGGAUUCCCCUAGUAACUGCGAGUGAAGCGGGAAAAGCUCAAAUUUGAAAUCUGGCGGUUCCUUGGACCCGUCCGAGUUGUAAUCUAGANAAGUGUUACCUGUGCUG